rnacentral:tRNA from 1 species
AUAGCAGCAUUCCAAUAGGUUGGAUACUCCGUCUGGACCGGAGAGGCUGCAGGUUCGAGCCCUGCCUGCUAUA